GAGAGAGAGAGACGAUAGUAACCUUGACCUUGCUACACGAGUUGUGACACCUAAAUGACAACACAUGAUGUCGUGUGUGGAGAGGAGAGGCUGCAGACUGGCCUGGAACACACUGACCUCGGCACACGUGUAACUCGUAUAUAUGCACACAUGCACGCAACAUACACAAACAAUUACACACACACACACGUAAACAUUAUACGCACAUAUAUACACGUACAAUAUCAACGAUGAGGGGCGUCUACUCGGUCGCCUGACACGCUAGAAAUACCAGUCAAAUGUUUCUUAAAUCACACCUUGUUGUCGUAAAUAUGGGACCGUCGUGGAAGGAAUACUUUUAAAUAUUGACAAUAAUAAGGUUUGCCCGUUCAGUAUUUACUAAGGACUAAACAACCAUAGCAACAACAAUAACAAACAGUUCUAUAUAUAUAUAAAUGUGUUCAACUCCUCUGAGCUCUCUUGAACCAUAUGUGAGUAUUUAUAAUUUAAUUGCUUGGUUUUUGCAUUUUUUUAAAAUUCGCCCAACCCCAGCUUUUAUUAGCUUUAAGAGUUGCAGAUUAUGCCAGUGUUUAAAAUCAUUGCUAUUAUUAUUGUUGUUGUUGUUGUUAAGGCGGAUAGCUGGCAGAAACGUUAGCACGCCGGGCGAAAUGCUUAGCAGUAUUUCAUCUGCCGUUACGUUCUGAGUUCAAAUUCCGCCGAGGUCGACUUUGCCUUUCAUCCUUUCGGGGUCGAUUAAAUAAGAACCAGUUACGCACUGGGGUCGAUAUAAUCGACUUAAUACCUCUGUAUGUCCUUGUUCGUUCCCUCUGUUUUUAGCCCCUUGUGGGUAGUAAAGAAAUAGGCAUUUCGUCUGCCGCUACGUUCUGAGUUCAAAUUCCGCCGAGGUCGACUUUGCCUUUCAUCUUCUCGGGGGUCGAUUAAAUAAGUAGCUGUAACGCAUUGGGGUUGAUGUAAUCGACUUAAUCCCUUUGUCUGUCCUUGUUCGUUGCCUCUAUGUUUAGCCCCUUGUGGGCAAUAAAGAAAUAAGAAUCGUUAGCACGCUGGGCGCAAAAUGCUUGACAGCAUUUCGUCCGCCUUUACGUUCGGAGUUCAAAUUCCGCCGAGGUUGACGUUGCCUAUCUUCCUUUCGGGGUCGAUAAAUUCAGUACCAGUGAAACACUGGGGUCCAUGUAAUCGACUACUCACCUCUCCUCAAAUUUCUGGCCUUAUGCCUUUAGUAGAAAGGAUUAUUAUUGGUGUUGUUAAGGCGGCGACCUGGCCGAAUCGUUAGCACGCCGGACAAAAUGCUUAGCAGCAUUUCAUCCGUCUGUACGUUCUGAGUUCAAAUUCUGCCGAGGUCGACUUAAUAUUUCAUUCUUUCUUUCGGCAUUGAUAAAAUAAGUACCAGUUGGGUAUUAGGGGUCGAUUUAGCCCCUUCCCCGUCAAAUUUCUGGCCUUGGGCCUAGAGUAGAAAGGAUUAUUGUUAUUAUAUAUUUCAUCCUUUCGGGGUCAAUACAAUAAGUAACAGUUAAGCACUAGGGUCGAUGUAAUCGACUUAACACCUCUCCAACAUUUCAGUCCUUCUGCCUGGAGUAGAAACGAUUUAUUUUAUUAUUAUUAAGAUUACGAACUGGUAAAAUCGUUAGCAUACUGGAAAAAUUGCUUAGUGACAUUCCUUCUGUCUUUACGUUCUGAGUUCAAUUUCCGCUGAGGUCCACUUUGCUUUUCAUCCAAUCGGGGUCGAUAAAAUAAGUACCAGUUGAACACUGGAUUCGAUGUGAUGGACUUACCCACUUCCUCGAGCUUGCUGGCCUUGUGCCAAAAUUUGAAAUUAUUGUUAUUAAAACGGGGGGCUGGCAGAAUCGUUAGUACGCCGGACAAAUUGCUUCGAGGCAUUUCGUCUCUCUUUGCGUUCUGAGUUCAAAUUUCGCUGAAGUCGACUUUACCUUUCAUCCUUUCAGGGUCGAUAAAAUAAGUAGUAAUUGAGUACAGAGGUCAAUGUAAUCGCCUAGCGCCCUCUGUACUAAGUUCGACUUCGCCUUUCAUUCAUUCACCCAGGGUCGAUAAAAUAAGUUCCAGUGGUGCACCGGGUUCCCCCGCCCUUCAAAAGCUGCCUGCCCUCUGCCAGAAUGUGAAAGUAGUAUUUCUUCGGACUCUUUACGUCCGGUGUUCAGUUUCCACCUUGGUCAACUUUGCUUUCAACCUCUCUGGGUCGAUGUGAUCGACUUCUCGCUCUCAUCAAAAUUGCUGGCCUUGUGCAGAAUAAGGAACUAUUGCUGUUUUUAUUAUUCUUAUUUGAAAGGUGGAUAGAAGAGAGCCUGGCUUGCACGUACGUAAGUUUGCAUAUAUGUAUGUGCGUAUGUAUAUAUCUGUGUGUAUAUAUAUAUAUAUAUGUGUGUGUAUGUGUGUACACAGACACGCACACACACACACAUACAUGUACAUCAUCUAUGGUUCCCCUCCCACCACAACUUUUUCAAAGGAAUCAUUGUUUUUGUUGUAAUGUUUUUUGCGCUUCUUG
rnacentral:lncRNA from 1 species